UACAGAGGGUGCAAGCGUUAAUCGGAAUUACUGGGCGUAAGCGUGCGUAGACGGUUAUGUAAGUCAGAUGUGAAAGCCCCGGGCUCAACCUGGGAAUUGCAUUUGAGACUGUGUAGCUAGGGUGCGGAAGAGGGAGGCGGAAUUUCCGGUGUAGCGGUGAAAUGCGUAGAUAUCGGAAGGAACACCAGUGGCGAAAGCGGCUUCCUGGUCCAGCACCGACGUUCAGGCACGAAAGCGUGGGGAGCAAACAGG
rnacentral:rRNA from 1 species